rnacentral:rRNA from 1 species
CUUGGUCAUUUAGAGGAAGUAAAAGUCGUAACAAGGUUUCCGUAGGUUCCGUAGGUGAACCUGCGGAAGGAUCAUUA